rnacentral:rRNA from 1 species
AACGAACGCUGGCGGCAUGCCUAACACAUGCAAGUCGAACGAGAUCUUCGGGUCUAGUGGCGCACGGGUGCGUAACGCGUGGGAAUCUGCCCUUUGGUUCGGAAUAACAGUUGGAAACGACUGCUAAUACCGGAUGAUGACGAAAGUCCAAAGAUUUAUCGCCAGAGGAUGAGCCCGCGUAGGAUUAGCUAGUUGGUGUGGUAAAGGCGCACCAAGGCGACGAUCCUUAGCUGGUCUGAGAGGAUGAUCAGCCACACAGGGACUGAGACGCGGCCCAGACUCCUACGGGAGGCAGCAGUGGGGAAUAUUGGACAAUGGGCGAAAGCCUGAUCCAGCAAUGCCGCGUGAGUGAUGAAGACCUAGGGUUGUAAAGCUCCUUUACCCGGGAUGAUAAUGACAGUACCGGGAGAAUAAGCUCCGGCUAACUCCGUGCCAGCCGCCGCCGUAACAC